UAAUACAUGCAAGUCGUACGCUAGCCGCUGAAUUGAUCCUUCGGGUGAAGUGAGGCAAUGACUAGAGUGGCGAACUGGUGAGUAACACGUAAGAAACCUGCCCUUUAGUGGGGGAUAACAUUUGGAAACAGAUGCUAAUACCGCGUAACAACAAAUCACACAUGUGAUCUGUUUGAAAGGUCCUUUUGGAUCGCUAGAGGAUGGUCUUGCGGCGUAUUAGCUUGUUGGUAGGGUAGAAGCCUACCAAGGCAAUGAUGCGUAGCCGAGUUGAGAGACUGGCCGGCCACAUUGGGACUGAGACACUGCCCAAACUCCUACGGGAGGCUGCAGUAGGGAAUUUUCCGCAAUGCACGAAAGUGUGACGGAGCGACGCCGCGUGUGUGAUGAAGGCUUUCGGGUCGUAAAGCACUGUUGUAAGGGAAGAAUAACUGAAUUCAGAGAAAGUUUUCAGCUUGACGGUACCUUACCAGAAAGGGAUGGCUAAAUACGUGCCAGCAGCCGCGGUAAUACGUAUGUCCCGAGCGUUAUCCGGAUUUAUUGGGCGUAAAGCGAGCGCAGACGGUUUAUUAAGUCUGAUGUGAAAUCCCGAGGCCCAACCUCGGAACUGC
rnacentral:rRNA from 1 species